CACAACGUGGGGUCUGGGGAUGGUAGAAUGUACGCAGACCUUACUCCUACCAAGAUAGGACGGCUGUUUCUGAAAGACCCUCGGCUCAUUAUGAAAAGUAUUUAAUAUUUUAUCCUAAUUAAUUAUGCAACCCAAUAAUAAAGUUUCUUGAGUUAUUAUAUCGUGCAUAAUUAAUCACAAUUCUAAUGUCUAAAAUUUCUGUAAGUGAUCCUUAAUUUUAAAAUUUUAUUCAGUUAAAGAUGUUGUGGCUAAUCCUCAAUCAAAUAAAAUUAUAGAUCACUUAGACAUUAGUCCUUAUUUAAUGUCUAUGAUCCUAAACUUGAUAUAUAAUUCCAUUUAAUUAAAGUUGUUGUGGCUAAAUCUUAAUUAAAUAAAAUUAUAUGGAUCACUAUACAUCAAAUUAAAAUUUAUCCAUACUUCAUUGCUAAAACAUUAUGCAAUAGAUUUAUGUCUAAAUGCUUUGCACGAACAGAGGUGUAAUAGGCAAAUAAAAACAAUAACUGGAGCAGUAUUUCAUCAAAAAGAGAGAGAUUAAAGCCCACUCCAUUUUUACUUUAUUAUCACUGUAUUGUCUUUUUCUAUUGAAAAAGGUAAAUAAAAAAAAAAUUCACAUAAUGGAUGAAGUAAGUCAUCUUAGCAAUGGGGCCCGCUUUAUCUUUAUCAAGAAGACAAAGAGAAAAGACACUUUGCAUAUGCACAGAAAAUUUCUCUCAACACCGUAUCAUCUUCAUCAACUGGUUGGGUCAUCUCAACCCGGUUUAAACCCAACAAAAUUUUCACCAUUACAGACAGUGAAAACACAGUUUAAAACAACCGCAAUAUCAGAAGAUCAGUUUCUUAAUGAUUUCUAGUAUUAGAAUUUAUCAAAAGUCUCAAAAUACAGAUCUGUUCAUGAGGAUCUGUAACAACCCCAUUUUGAUAAAUUUUUGCAGAUUCCGAAAUUAACAAGACAGAGGUAAAACGGUUGCUCUGAUGCCAAAUGUAAGACAUUAUAGAGCAAUAGCACAGCGGAAAAAAUGUGGGGAGUUUAUGAAAAUAGUUUUCUGAAGUUCUGGGCAGUUGCAAUAUGUCGAGAAGUUGGGAGUUUAUCUCCCUUUGUAUGCGGGCCAUUAUAAAGUUCAACUUACAUCUCCUUCCAAAUCUUUUUAUGAUACUCCUUUGACCCAUAUUUUCCAUAAAAAAAGGGUAACAAUGUUUUAUUCAUUUUUAAUUCAUACAUUGUUUAUGCAAUUUGCGCAUGUGCUAUGUAUAUGGCAGGUUUUUUGUCAAGAAAAAUCUUCAAUUUUGCAGUGAAAAAAUUAUACCUAUUAUAACAGAGGUGUUAAUGCAUCAGCCUUUCACCAGAUGGUCAUGGGAUUGUAUUCGGUGGAGAAGCCAGUACCUAAAGCAUGCAAAGCAAGCCUUAGCUCUAUGCAAAGGACUGCCACUUCUAAAGGUUAAUUAGAUUUUGUUGCAGUUUCUACCUUUAAAUGUUCCUUUUGAUCAAUUUUAUGGUAUCAAAGGUUAUUAAAAAAAAAACUAUAUAUAUAAUUACAGGACAAAGACCCGGUGAUGUGACAACUACAACUACAACUCAAGACUCCUAUUUUUACACUUUGCGCCAAUUAAUCUCCUUUAAAGCCUAAAUAAAGUUUCCGUAACAAAGAUUUACAAACUAAACACGCUUCCCCAAAUCUGCCGAAAAGGUUCGACAAUACAACGCGCUGCUUCACCAAUUAUCCCUUAUUUCACUCUCACUCUCUCUCUGCCUGUUCGUAUUCCUAUUCUCCAUGUUCUUGCCAACAUCUGUUUGCUUUAGCACUUUUUACAAGAAAGAUCUUCACCAACUUCUCUUUGCUUCAUCUUCACGACGCAAAAAAAAAAAAAACAUUUAACUUACCCAGGUAUGCGAAUUUACCUUUCACAAGCACAACCAAUUUCCUCUACUUUUGUCGCAUUAACUAUUUUCAUGUACAUUUCAUUAGACUCCUUUCGUUUACUAAAAGCUCACUCACUUACUCCCACAUCUUUUGAAAUAUAAUUCAAUAGCGCUUUAAGACUUCUCACUGUUGGAUAAAUUGUUCUUACAAUUUGGUGAGAAAAACUGCAUCCUCUUGCCUUUUGCAUAUGCACAACUAUGCCAGUUCUGACAAAGUUCUUUAUCCAGGCUAAGAAAAUUGCUUCAACAAUGAUUUUGAAGAUAGAAUGCGUGAUCUACUGACUAGGUAACUUUCUCAAUUAAGAUUGCCAUCUCAACAUUUUGAUCUUUGUACUUAAAAAAAGGAAACUUUUCAAUGGCUAGCUUUGGGUUUAGAGUGUCUAUGUAUGCCAGUAUUUCUUCCGCUUCUAUAUUGAUCAAUAUGCCUUAAGCAUGGAAAAGAUAAGUGCUAAAAAGGGCCUUAGCAUUUUUAAGGAUUUCAAAGACAAAAAGAGAGAAUAAGGAGGGGUUGCACUUCUGUAACAGAGAUGGAAAAAAAAAUGGAAAGAGUGAAAUUCACUAAUUUAGGGGAUGAAUGCAGUGAAACAGAGCUGGGUUUUCUUUUUCUAGGUCUCGCGUGUUAUAUCAUUGUUAGUUUCAACGGAUGUGGUUGUUUUCUGAAUUUGCCAGUUUGCAUUGUGACCAAUAUUUGAAUCUAUAAAGCAGUCUUACUUGUAUAGGUGUGUCAGUGCUUCUGGUUAAACGUGAGACCGAAGCAUAGCUAGGAAAACUGUGUUUUACGUUUUAAUGAUUGCCGCCUUAAUAGCUGAUCCUUUAUCGUCCACAUGUAUCACAUUCUCGAACACCAUAUCCGCUUACCUGUAGUGCUAAUAGUGAAUAAUGCUUGGAUUGUAGUUUGAAGUGUAAGCUAUUGUUGCAUAUGAUAAUUUUUUUCUAAGCCACUUCAAUUAAUUUAUGUGAUUGACAAUACCAUUUAACGAAUAAUUCUCAAUGACUAUCUUGCUUCUUAGUAGAACAUUUAGAGAUCCCUAUAUUGUAUUUUGUGCAAUGUACCGUUAAAUUACGAUAAAUAUGGUUUGGAGAUAAAAAAAAUGGGUUCUUUGUAGUUCUAGCAUCUAUUGUGUUUUGAAAAUUGGCCAGAUUUAUGCCUUUGCAUGGUAAAAUGUAGUGAGCACAUGAACAAUAUUUCGUCUAAGACAACUAGAGGCCAACUUUUAGCGACAUCUGUGAUAAACCUUGAAGAUUUUGGACUAAUUGACGAGGUUGUAUCUACUUACACUCCACUUAACUGCAAGAAUAGUUCUAAGAGCUCCGACCAACUAGCUCUGUUUGUUAACAUACAUCCUACUGAGAGGGCUAGGUUAAAUUCAUCCCAAGUUAGUGCAGGGAAAGAACUAUCCAUAGAAAAGAAUGGACAAAAAUCUGUUGCAGAUUCAGUGAAUGGAAAAAAUGAGGAUGACUAUGAGAUCAAAUCAUUGCUCUAAAAAAACACGACAAUUUUAUACAUAAACAUAAUACUCCUUCACGACUCACGGCAGUAAUUGCAUUUCAUACUCAUGUUAAUACAAACUCACAGUGGUUGUCUAUAUGCUCUGAGAGUGACGAAUAGGGGUUUUGAGCUUCCUUUAGCCUAGCACCUUCUUUUUCAAGUAUCUCCCUAUUUCAUUAUACAACAAUGAAAGCAUGCGGAACAGAUGUUGCUCCCACGACCACCUAAAAAGGUUGAAUCAGAGACAUUUUUGCUCAAUUUGGAAAUUUUGGUUUAAGAAAAUAGAAACAGAGGAUCUAUAAUGCUUGAAAUUUUGCUUUUGAUUUAGUGUUUGAAUUUGCUUGAAGAGUUUCUGAUGAUGAACCAGAGAAGCUGUAAUGAUAUUUAUAGUUGGGCGUGUAGAAAAAGAAAGCGAUAAACUUAUGCAAUUCGAGGUACCUAGGAUGUUCUUCAGUUAAAGAAGAUGCUUCUACACUAUUCGACUUAAUUUUUCUAAAAUUAUUUAACACUUCUUAAAUAAUGUUGUAUCUCGAAUAAACUGGAACGGGAGUACUAGGAAUGUCAUUUUCAUUCAUUAUAACCACUCAGUUUAAUAUGGUUUUCUAUUACCUCCGUUCUUUUCUUCUUCUUUUCUACAUUUUUUCUUAAUUUGCCUCACGUGAGAAGAUAGUCCUGAUAUGUCAAGACUACUAACCCUUAUACACUCUUAAUUGGUGAUUUAGAGUAUCAGUUGUCACAUUUAAUUUUUAUCUUAGUCGCUGUAUCUUAGUCAUUUCUUAUACAGUUUUGGCUGGUGCUUCGGACUGUAUAUCCACAAGACAUGUUGCUACCGCUUCUCUUGCUUUAUGGCCUUGCAGGAUAUGAGGUCUCCAAUUUUUGUCACAUUUUUUAAACUUCUUUUAACCGUUUAAAAUGGACAAUAAUUUCUUAUAUAUUCUUCGUUUAUUGGGUUCCUGUUUUGUACUUCAGCAUCUUCUGGAUGCAUUAUUAAGGGAACAACUUAACUCAUAAUCAUGUACUUAUACUUUCAUCUUUUUCUCUUUAUAAUGUUUAUUCUCAUACUUUAUAGUCAACUAGGUAAUUUCAGUCAAGAAAUGAUCAACAUGUCUUUAGGGUAGUCAUGACAUUGGAUGUGCCAUCUCAAAUGAUGAUAAUCCACCUCUAUAUAUCUUCGCCCAUUACUAAUAAGCCUUUGAUUAAAUAAUUAGCCUAGACUGUGUGCUUGCCUCUCGUCUCUUCUAACACUAAUUCUCUGCAUAAUGCAAACUGAAGGCAUACAACAUCCAAAGUAGUGGCCAUUAUUAUUUGGAGGGUGCAACCAUUUCAGGUGAUAUUUUCAAUCUUUCUAAUGAGGAUGUGAAUAGUCCAAUGGGUGCCCUCAUAAGUAAGUGAUCCUUUGCAUUUUAUAUGACUUCCUCCAUUUAACAGAUUAGCGCUUGCCAUCAAUUCCCGAAGUCCGUAAAUAUGGUUAAUGUGCUUGGUACUGAUUUGAAACAUAUUCAUGGGAGGGGUCCUUGAUAUCUGUAAUCGUGGAUGUGUGGGUUCAUGACAAUUACUUGGCUAAUACAUGCCAUUUGUUUUCAGAGAAAAAAAAGACAUUAUGGUAAGAAUCUAAUUUUUCUAAGCAUUAAAACUGAGAAAAUGUAGUUCAACAUACUGGCAAAGAUUCUCUAGGAAGAAAUCAAUGGGAAUUUGUUGCGCUUUAAUUGAUUACUCAGCAGAGAUAGAGAGAGUUGCGGUGUUGUUUGCAGGCUCGUUGGUCCUGACUCGUGAGAUAAUUUUGCUGCUAUGUAGCUAUUCACAUCAUUAUGUGGAUGCACUGCACUUAGGUAAGUGCUUUGUAUAAUCUGAGUAGUGAUUUAGGACAAAAUUAAAACUUCAGUUGUGUUCUUUAUCACAAAAAAAGCAGGAAAAGGAAAAGGAAAAGAAAAUUUAAAAUAAAAAGCUAAAAAUGCUAAAGUAUUGAGUCCUGUAUAUGUCCUUUCCACUGUCCCGGGUCCUUUUCACUCUACUUUGUGUAUCAAAGUAAAGUAAAGUUAUUAAAAGUUUAGUUUUACAAAUUUAAAGUUGUUGUCGUGUGUUUGCUAAUUCAGUAAUAUAUGGUAAUCAACUUAAAGUUCAUGGCUGCUUUAUCAUGUUUGCAGGUUAGGAAUUAUCAUUGUUUUCUUCUCGAAUGAGACUUUGGUUGGUUUCAUCGCUGUUGCAAAGGUCAUUAUUAUACUGCAACAACUAAAAGAGUUGCUAGGGGUAGCCCACUUCACAAGCUAGAUGCAAAUAGUUUAUGUAUUGCCUUCUUUUUCCUAGCUUUUCAGCAGAAAAGAUGAAGAAGAUACCAUGUCAAUCUUGAACGAUAAUUAUAUUUUUAUUUUUACGAUUUGAAUGUAAUAAAUCUGAGAAUUGGCGUCAUGAAGAGUUGUGGAGUUAUACAUCUCAGACCAGCUUUACUA